UACGUAGGGUGCAAGCGUUGUCCGGAAUUAUUGGGCGUAAAGAGCUCGUAGGCGGUUUGUUGCGUCGGCUGUGAAAUCCCGAGGCUCAACCUCGGGUCUGCAGUCGAUACGAGCAAACUAGAGUGUUGCAGGGGAGACUGGAAUUCCUGGUGUAGCGGUGAAAUGACGCAGAUAUCAGGAGGAACACCGGUGGCGAAGGCGGGUCUCUGGGCAACAACUGACGCUGGAGGAGCGAAAGCCGUGGGGAGCGAACAGG
rnacentral:rRNA from 1 species